rnacentral:misc_RNA from 1 species
AAUCCAAAUCUCCACUUACAAAUUCUACAAAAAAUAUAUUUAAAAACUACUCCAUCUAAAAAAAUAUUCAACUCUAUUAAUUCAAUCCAAUAAUCACUAAAAAUUAUCUAUAAAUACUUCCGUUUAAUUUUUAAAUAAAAUUAUUUCCUUUACUACAAUAAACCUCAAAACAAUCCAAAUCUCCAAUCGCAAAUUCUACAAAAAAAUUAUUUACAACCUACUCUAUCUAUAAAAAUAUUCAACUCUAUAAAUCAAAUACAAUCAUCACAAAAUAAUUUCUAAAAAU